rnacentral:misc_RNA from 1 species
AAAAAAAGAGCGGCUUCCUAGAAAUUUACUAAAAGAGGCGCACUUGGAUUCGCUUGGUUUCUGCAUCGAAGUCUAGGUCAGCCCACUUCCCCUUCUAUUCUCUUCUCUUAAACCUCACGUCUCAGACCUAGAUUCUUCUCGUUAUCCCAAAACGGCAUUUCUCCCUUCGACAAAACGACACCGUCACUCCACCAGCACCCAUUUUUUCUCUCCCUCUAAGGCAUGUUAUUCCCUCACUCUCUCUCUGUCUUCUCCUUCUCCUCCCUCAGCUUUUCCAUCUCUCUAUCACAUCCAUUGGAAAUACCCGUUGACUUAUUUUCCUUCCCGCUUUGAUUUUUAGACAUACGAAAAAGGAUAUUUUUAAAAGCAGGGGAAAAUAACAGAUAAUGGACCAAGCAGUUCUCGAUGAUAUUAUCAGGCGUCUUUUAGAGGUCAGGGGCAAGCCCGGCAAGCAGGUACAGUUAUCCGAGGCUGAGAUCCGGCAGCUCUGUGUCGUUUCUAGAGAGAUUUUCGUGCAGCAGCCUAAUUUAUUGGAGCUUGAAGCGCCCAUCAAGAUUUGUGGUGACAUUCAUGGACAAUAUUCUGAUCUUCUAAGGCUGUUUGAAUAUGGUGGAUUACCUCCACAUGCAAAUUACUUGUUUUUGGGGGAUUAUGUUGAUCGAGGCAAGCAAAGUCUGGAGACAAUAUGUCUUCUCCUUGCUUAUAAGAUAAAAUAUCCUGAAAACUUCUUCCUCUUGAGGGGAAACCAUGAAUGUGCCUCUAUAAACCGCAUAUAUGGCUUUUAUGAUGAGUGUAAGAGAAGAUUUAAUGUUAGGCUAUGGAAGAUAUUCACAGAUUGUUUUAAUUGUCUACCAGUGGCGGCUCUAAUUGAUGAGAAGAUUCUUUGCAUGCAUGGAGGUCUUUCUCCUGACCUGCAUAAUUUGGAUGAGAUUAGAAACUUGCAACGCCCCACUGAUGUACCAGACACAGGUUUGCUUUGUGAUCUUCUCUGGUCAGAUCCCAGUAAAGAUGUUCAAGGUUGGGGAAUGAAUGACAGGGGAGUUUCAUAUACCUUUGGUCCUGACAAGGUGACAGAGUUUCUUGAGAAGCAUGAUUUGGAUCUCAUUUGUCGUGCUCACCAGGUUUGACCUACCAUAACAGUUUAAUUUGUUUGUCAGUCUUCAUUUAAGUUCAUAUUCUCUCUAUUACUUUAAGGCUGUUGAGAAUAAACAAUAUGGAGGCAUAUAUGUAUCUUUUCAUAAGUCAUUUAGUUAUCUUGUGUGAACUGUUCUUAAUUAAAACACUUUUUAGGCCCAUUGACUCAUUUAUUUCGUGAUCAAUGAGAAUUGAGCCUAACAUUCCCCUCGAUAAAUUCCAUAUGGCCACAGUGGUAAUGGCUUUAGUUGCCCAUUCUUUGCUGUCCUUUGAGUUCUCGUGGGGAUAAAUUUUCUCAUUGUUGCUAGCACUCUCGUAAUUCAAUUUUCUCUGUGCUGUUUCAGGUUGUGGAGGAUGGAUAUGAGUUCUUUGCCAACAGGCAACUUGUAACUAUAUUUUCAGCGCCUAAUUAUUGUGGGGAAUUUGAUAAUGCUGGUGCCAUGAUGAGUGUGGAUGAGACUCUAAUGUGCUCUUUCCAAAUAUUAAAGCCUGCUGAUAAAAAGUCAAAAUUUAACUUUGGGAGCACUGCCACAACAAAGCCUGGAAACACUUCUGGCGUUGGUGUUUUUGGGAGUACAACUACAGCCAAGCCUGGAAACUCACCAGCAGGAGUAAAGGUAAAGCCUAACCUUCAAAAACACAAUUGAAAAUUUUCACCAAAGUUUACUGUUAAAAUGCUUGACAUUGUGUGAUGCAAUGCCCCGUAAGUUUGUAGUUUUCAUGUUUGAUAAUCCGUGAUCGUUGAGGAUCAUAAGUACUUCAUGUGUUCCUUUAGUAAGUAGGUAGGAGGUGAAGUUCAUAUGUAAAACUCUAUAUACUUCGGCUCAUGUGAUGGUAUUCUCUCUCUUUUCAACAUUUGAACUAAGCUUUGUUUUUUGGUCAAGAGACAGAAUACAAGAUACAUUGUCAUAAUCAUGUUAGUUAUAAGUAGAACUAGCCUAAGUCAAAGCACGUUUUCAAAGCAAACAUAAACAAACAUCCAAAGAAUAUGGAAAUACAAUCAAUCCAACAUUAGUGGGACUUGAACCUUGGACCUUACCAAUAGCUAGGUUUACCACUAGACCAAGGCCUCAUUGACCAUUUGAUCUUAAAGCUAUCUGAUUAAUUUCCUGUUCUCCUAUAGCCUAACUAUGAACAUAAUGCCCAGUGAGUUGACCAUGGUUUACAGUUUGAACGUCAUAUUAGUUUUAUUUACCUCUCUUAAAUUAUUGCUUAUCGUUACUCCAUUCUUUGAUCAUUUGUGCAUGUGCUUUCUCCUUUUAUCCAAUUAGAAUGAAUUGUUAAGUUUAACCAGUGUAUUGGUUCAUUCUUCUACAAUUUUAAGUUGAAUGUGGAAUAUUAAGAAUUAACGGAUGUAGUCUUGAAGCAACAGUGCACUGAGAAAAGGAAGUACAAUCUCUAGUUACUAUAAGGAUUUUUCCCCUUUUAUUAAGGGAACAUUUGUACUUUUUUUUUUUGAAAAAUUUAUACUGGAUAAGUUGAGAAAGAAUGAAAGAUGAUUGUUUAACAAAGAACAAAAGAUAAUUGUCUAACCCUAGCAAUAGGUUGUUAAGAGUGGUAGCAAAAGAAACUAUAACCUGAAUAUGACAUUUUGGAUAAAGAUAUUUUAGGUAGGAAAUUUAGGGAAGUGGAGUUGUUCAGUGGAGAAGAAACAAUCAAAGGGUGUCAUGAAACAACUGGAUUUGCAAGGACUUUCAAACUAGGAUCUUCUCCUUUUUCGAACUGAGAAGUUACAUACCUAGAAGUUUUUAAUUUGGAAAAUUUUGCUUGUUCAAUUCCGUAGAACUUUAAAUUUGCGUGUCUGGAGUAUUCUGCUUGGAUGGGUUGGAUAUGCUGCAUUUUUAUAUUUGACAAAUGAACUGGCCUGAUUCGUGCCUGCCUUCUAUGUGUGCCACGCAUGAUUGCAUGUUAUAGUUGAUUACUUCUAUUUGUAACUGUACCAAUCCUUUUUCGCCAUGCAGUCAUUCCUGGGUGCAAAAGUAUGACAAGUAGACUUCUGGUUAGAGUCUAAGCAUAGUUGGGUCAUGAACACACCAAGAUUGUUAUGACAGGAAAUUUGAGUUCCAUUUUAGUUUCAAUAUAAUUUGCUGAAAUUGUAUAAAAUGGAACAGAGAAAAAUAGAAAACUAAUGCGAAAGACUAUUUUCCCGUUUUAUAAAGUUGGGUAUGAAGAUAGAAGGCUGUUCUCCUUCUCUUCCUGGUUGUACACUAAUAGCUGCUAGACUUGCUGCUAUGAAUUAUUUCCAUGUUGCCCUUAAUUUUUAAAUGUUUAGCUCAUCUCUGAGAUGAUGAAGAAUGCCAAAACAUUUUAGUCUUUUUGUGACUGAAGGCCAGCAGCAGGGAGUUGGUCUAGCCUUUUUUUCGUUGUGCUCCAUUUUGUUUUAAAUUUGAAAGAUUGAAUUUUUGAUUUGCCAAGCUCGCCUUUGAAUAGGAAGAAACCGUGGUGAAAGUAAUGAGAUGAACUAAAUACUAAUCCAGUUUUAUCUUUUCUCCUCCGAGGCAAUGGAUUGGAAUCAAGCAUUUCAUGAUUGCUGAAGUUUAUGGUUGUUUUUUGGCAAUUUUCUCGCCAAAAAAUGUUUUAUUUUUCUUUU